AGGACGAACGCUGGCGGCGUGCCUAACACAUGCAAGUCGAGCGAGGAGAUCCUCGGGAUGAUCCUAGCGGCGGACGGGUGAGUAACACGUGGGCAACCUGCCUCAUAGAGAGGAAUAGCCUUCCGAAAGGGAGAUUAAUACCUCAUAACAUUGCAGUUUCGCAUGAAACAGCAAUUAAAGGAGCAAUCCGCUAUGAGAUGGGCCCGCGGCGCAUUAGCUAGUUGGUGAGGUAACGGCUCACCAAGGCGACGAUGCGUAGCCGACCUGAGAGGGUGAUCGGCCACAUUGGGACUGAGACACGGCCCAGACUCCUACGGGAGGCAGCAGUGGGGAAUAUUGCACAAUGGGGGAAACCCUGAUGCAGCCAACGCCGCGUGAGUGAUGACGGCCUUCGGGUUGUAAAGCUCUGUCUUCAGGGACGAUAAUGACGGUACCUGAGGAGGAAGCCACGGCUAACUACGUGCCAGCAGCUGC
rnacentral:rRNA from 1 species